rnacentral:rRNA from 1 species
UACAGAGGGGGCUAGCGUUGUUCGGAAUUACUGGGCGUAAAGCGCACGUAGGCGGCUUUGUAAGUUAGAGGUGAAAGCCCAGGGCUUAACCCUGGAAUUGCCUUUAAGACUGCAUCGCUAGAAUUGUGGAGAGGUGAGUGGAAUUCCGAGUGUAGAGGUGAAAUUCGUAGAUAUUCGGAAGAACACCAGUGGCGAAGGCGACUCACUGGACACAUAUUGACGCUGAGGUGCGAAAGCGUGGGGAGCAAACAGG